CCUACGGGCGGCAGCAGUGGGGGAUAUUGCACAAUGGGGGGAACCCUGAUGCAGCGACGCCGCGUGGGUGAAGGAGCGUUUCGGCGCGUAAAGCCCUAUCGGCAGGGAAGAAGGAGGACGGUACCUGACUAAGAAGCCCCGGCUAACUACGUGCCAGCAGCCGCGGUAAUACGUAGGGGGCAAGCGUUAUCCGGAUUUACUGGGUGUAAAGGGGGCGCAGACGGCAGCGCAAGCCAGGAGGGAAAGCCCGGGGCCCAACCCCGGGACUGCUCUUGGAACUGCGCGGCUGGAGUGCAGGAGGGGCAGGCGGAAUUCCUGGUGUAGCGGUGAAAUGCGUAGAUAUCAGGAGGAACACCGGUGGCGAAGGCGGCCUGCUGGACUGCGACUGACGUUGAGGCCCGAAAGCGUGGGGAGCGAACAGGAUUAGAUACCCCAGUAGUC
rnacentral:rRNA from 1 species